CCUACGGGCGGCAGCAGUGAGGAAUAUUGGUCAAUGGCCGGAAGGCUGAACCAGCCAAGCCGCGUGAAGGACGAAGGUGCCAAGAAUUGUAAACUUCUUUUGUCAAGGGACAAAAUCAGGCUCGAGAGCCUGACCGAGGGUACUUGAAGAAAAGCAUCCGCCAAAUUCCGUGCCAAAACCGGCGGUAUUCAGGAGAAUCCGAUCGUUACCCGUAUUUAUUGGGUUUAAAGGUUGCGUAGGCGGACUGUUAAGCCAGCGGUAAAAGCCCGGGGCUAAACCCCGGCGAGCCGUUGAAACUGGCUGUCUUGAGAUGUCGAGAGGUAUGCGGAAUGCGCAGUGUAGCGGUGAAAUGCUUAGAUAUUGCGCAGAACUCCGAUUGCGAAGGCAGCAUACCGGCGGCGAUCUGACGCUGAGGCACGAAAGCGUGGGUAUCGAACAGGAUUAGAUACACCGGUAGUC
rnacentral:rRNA from 1 species